CGGUAUUCUAACCGUGCGAAGGUAGCGUAAUCACUUGCCCUUUAAAUGAGGGCUAGUAUGAAUGGCAUCACGAAAGUUGUACUGUCUCCUUCCCCUAAUCAGUGAAACUAAUCUCCCCGUGAAGAAGCGGGGAUACUUAUAUAAGACGAGAAGACCCUAUGGAGCUUUAAACCAAGCAUCAACUGCCACUAUAAACCUACAAUUCCAGAAAUAUAAUCUGUACGCUAGCAUAGUGUAAUGCUGGUUUUAGGUUGGGGUGACCACGGAGUAAAAACAAACCUCCGUGCUGAAUCAGGACCUCCUUAAGCAAUAAGCCACAACUUUAUGCAUCAACAAAUUGACAUAAUUGACCCAAUUCUUUGAUCAACGAACCAAGUUACCCUAGGGAUAACAGCGCAAUCCAUUUCAAGAGCCCCU
rnacentral:rRNA from 1 species